rnacentral:rRNA from 1 species
UUUGCCUACGGGGGGCAGCAGUGGGGAAUAUUGGACAAUGGGGGGAACCCUGAUCCAGAGAUGCCGCGAGGGUGAAGAAGUAUUUCGGUAUGUAAAGCUCUAUCAGCAGGGAAGAAAGAAAUGACGGUACCUGACUAAGAAGCCCCGGCUAACUACGUGCCAGCAGCCGCGGUAAUACGUAGGGGGCAAGCGUUAUCCGGAUUUACUGGGUGUAAAGGGAGCGUAGACGGCGAUGCAAGUCUGAAGUGAAAGGCGGGGGCCCAACCCCCGGCCUGCUUUGGUAACUGGAUAGCUGG